GAUGAACGCUGGCGGCGUGCCUAAUACAUGCAAGUCGAGCGAACGGACGAGAAGCUUGCUUUUCUGAUGUUAGCGGCGGACGGGUGAGUAACACGUGGAUAACCUACCUAUAAGACUGGGAUAACUUCGGGAAACCGGAGCUAAUACCGGAUAAUAUUUUGAACCGCAUGGUUCAAAAGUGAAAGACGGUCUUGCUGUCACUUAUAGAUGGAUCCGCGCUGCAUUAGCUAGUUGGUAAGGUAACGGCUUACCAAGGCAACGAUGCAUAGCCGACCUGAGAGGGUGAUCGGCCACACUGGACCUGAGCCACGGUCCAGACUCCUACGGGAGGCAGCAGUAGGGAAUCUUCCGCAAUGGGCGAAAGCCUGACGGAGCAACGCCGCGUGAGUGAUGAAGGUCUUCGGAUCGUAAAACUCUGUUAUUAGGGAAGAACAUAUGUGUAAGUAACUGUGCACAUCUUGACGGUACCUAAUCAGAAGGCCACGGCUAACUACGUG
rnacentral:rRNA from 1 species